UUUCCGUAGGUGAACCUGCGGAAGGAUCAUUACUGAGUGAGGGCCCCUCGGGGUCCAACCUCCCACCCGUGUUUAACGAACCUGGUUGCUUCGGCGGGCCCGCCUCACGGCCGCCGGGGGGCAUCCGCCCCCGGGCCCGCGCCCGCCGAAGCCACCUGUGAACGCUGUCUGAAGUAUGCAGUCUGAGACAAUUAUUAAAUUAAUUAAAACUUUCAACAACGGAUCUCUUGGUUCCG
rnacentral:misc_RNA from 1 species